rnacentral:rRNA from 1 species
UACGUAGGGUGCGAGCGUUGUCCGGAAUUAUUGGGCGUAAAGGGCUUGUAGGCGGUCUGUUGCGUCAGGAGUGAAAACUCGGGGCUUAACCCCGAGCCUGCUUCUGAUACGGGCAGACUAGAGGUAUGCAGGGGAGAACGGAAUUCCUGGUGUAGCGGUGAAAUGCGCAGAUAUCAGGAGGAACACCGGUGGCGAAGGCGGGUCUCUGGGCCGAUACUGACGCUGAGGAGCGAAAGCGUGGGGAGCGAGCAGG